rnacentral:rRNA from 1 species
GUAUCGGAAGAUGUACCUGGAAAGCGGACUAGAGCUUGAAUGAAGUAUUUUAUUUACAUUACAAUGGGAAAUCGUGUGAUUCGAUUUAGUUUGAGUUAACAGAAUUAUUAUAGUUCUAUUAUGAGAGGUAUCUCUAUGUAUUUAGUAUAUCGGUAGGAAGAAUUAAGAAUAUUAUAGUUGAUUAUUACUGUAAAAGGAUUUUUUAAAACGGGGAAAAGAAUACUUUAUUUGUGGUACCUUGUGUAUCAGGGUUGAUUAAAUUUUCUGUUUUUAUGGAGGUGUCCCGAAUUUAGAUGGGCCAGGAUAGUAUUAAUUUUAGUGUGGAAAAAUUAUUUAUAAUAUUAUUCUAGGUGUGAAAUUUUAGUCGUCUCUGAUGAUAUCUGGUUUCUUUAGAAAUAAAUUUAAUUUAGAUGAAUGGGAGAAAAUUAUUAGUUAUUAUUUUAUUCUUUGUUUUAUUUAUGUUCUUAGGGAUAAGCUUGGGGACAAAAUUUUAAAAUUUAUUAAUUAGGCUAGGUUAAUAGGAUUAGAAGAGUUUAUUUUGGAGUUAGUUAUAUAAGACCUAGAAUAGAUAGGAUUUUAUAAAGUUUAAGUUUUUUAUAGAGAAGGCCAUAUUAAUAAGGUGUGGUGCUAUUAUGAUUAAAUUAGUAUAUUUAGUGUAUAUAUGUGUUGUUUGGGAAGGUUAUAUUAAGGAACUCGGCAAAUGGGUUUCCUGCCUGUUUAUUAAAAACAUGUCCUUUUGUGAUAAUUUAAGGUCUGGCCUGCCCAAUGAUUAUUUAAUGGCCGCAGUAUUUUGACUGUGCAAAGGUAGCAUAAUCAUUAGUUUUUUAAUUGAAAGCUGGAAUGAAAGGUUUGACAAGGAAACAACUGUCUCAAUAUAAUUUUUAUAGAAUUUUAUUUUUUAGUGAGAAAGCUUAAAUAGAAAUGGGGGACGAGAAGACCCUAUAGAAUUUGAUAUAUAAUUAGGGCUAUCUUUUUUGGAAAGGUUAUGGUUUGGGUUAGGUAU